rnacentral:rRNA from 1 species
CAGAGGGUGCAAGCGUUGCUCGGAUUUACUGGGCGUAAAGCGUACGCAGACGGUAAGAAAGGUCGGAUGUGAAAGCCCCGGGCUCAACCCGGGAACUGCAUCCGAAACCAGCUUGCUAGAGUAUGGGAGAGGGAAGCGGAAUUCCUGGUGUAGAGGUGAAAUUCGUAGAUAUCAGGAGGAACACCGGCGGCGAAGGCGGCUUCCUGGCCCAUUACUGACGUUCAGGUACGAAAGCGUGGGUAGCAAAACAGGAUUAGAUACCCUGGUAGUCCACGCUGUAAACGAUGUGUGCUGGAUGUCGGGGGUAUUCACCCCCUCGGUAUCGAAGCUAACGCGAUAAGCACACCGCCUGGGGAGUACGGCCGCAAGGUUG